rnacentral:rRNA from 1 species
ACAGCCACAUUGGGACUGAGACACGGCCCAGACUCCUACGGGAGGCAGCAGUGGGGAAUUUUCCGCAAUGGACGAAAGUCUGACGGAGCGACGCUGCGUGAAGGAUGAAGGCCCGUGGGUUGUAAACUUCUUUUCUCGAAGAAGAAAAAAAUGACGGUAUUCGAGGAAUAAGCAUCGGCUAACUCUGUGCCAGCAGCCGCGGUAAGACAGAGGAUGCAAGUGUUAUUCGGAAUGAUUGGGCGUAAAGAGUCUGUAGGCGGUUUAGAAAGUCUUUUGUGAAAUACUUCAGCUCAACUGAGGCUCCGCAAAAGAAACUUCUAGACUUGAGGAAAGUAGAGGUACAGGGAAUUUCCGGUGGAGCGGUGAAAUGCGUAGAUAUCGGAAGGAACACCAAUAUGGCGAAGGCACUGUACUGGGCUUUUCCUGACGCUCAGAGACGAAAGCUGAAGGAGUGAUUAGGAUUAGAUACCCUAGUAAUUUCAGCCGUAAACGAUGAAAACUCACUGUCGAGCCAAUAUAUGGAGCGGUGGUCAAGCUAACGCGUGAAGUUUUCCGCCUGGGGAUUACGCUUGCAAAAGUGAAACUCAAAGGAAUUGACGGGGACCCGCACAAGCGGUGGAGUAUGUGGUUUAAUUCGAUGCAACGCGAAAAACCUUACCAGGGUUUGAAAUAAUUUCAAAACUUCUUGAAAGAGAAGCCUCCUUCGGGAUGGAAUUACAGGUGGUGCAUGGCUGUCGUCAGCUCGUGUUGUGAAAUGUCAAGUUAAGUCUUGUAACGAGCGCAACCCAUGUCUCUUGUUGCUGUUUACAGUGCUUAAGAGAAACUGCCGAUCAACAUCGGAGGAAGGUGUGGAUGAUGUCAAGUCAGCAUGCCCCUUACAUCCUGGGCUACACACGUACUACAAUGGUCGAGACAAAGGGUCGCUAACCUGCGAAGGUAUGCCAAUCUCAUAAACUCGAUCUCAGUUCGGAUUGUACUCUGCAACUCGAGUACAUGAAGGUGGAAUCGCUAGUAAUCGCUGGUCAGCAUACAGCGGUGAAUACGUUCCCGGGUCUUGUACACACUGCCCGUCACACCAUGGAAGUCGACCCUUCCCUAAGUCGUUACUCGAACC